rnacentral:lncRNA from 1 species
UCUGGGGUGAGUCUGAAAAGUCUGCAUUCUUAGCCCGGGAUUCAGAUGAUCAUUAGGUUUGGGAAUCUUAAAUAGAGUCUCCCUUCUCUCUUUUCACUGUUAGGGAGGGAGAGGGAGUGAUGUUUUUGAUGCUCUGUUACUUUAGCUGAAGGAUUUUCUAUCAGUCUUCACAAUCUGUCUUGAAAUGGUUCCCAUCAGCCACUUCGUGCAGGAAUCCAAGGGGCUAAGAAACAUACACACACACAUACACAUACACACACACACGGGCACACACACAGGCCCACUGUGCCCAGAGACCCACACGCGCAGCAGGCUGCCAGGAAACCAGGACUCAGGGCCCACCACAAUCUGGAAGGAACAUCAAGUCCCCAGGUAUAGCCACGGCGGCUCUUGGCCCAUGGUCUGGUGGCCAAGGAGGCAUCAGCUGCUGGUCACAGGUGGCAGGCCGCUUCCCAGAGGAUCUGCAGAGCCAUGGAGGCGUAGGCCACGGUGUGUACCACACGGCCCAGGAGGAAGACCAGGAAGUGCAUCCAGGCGACAAAAGGGUUAGGACCCAGAAAGGAGUAGACGAAGCCCAGGAAAAGGAAGGGGUAGAUGGUCUCCAUGUCGUUCCGGUGG